AUACGGAGGAUCCGAGCGUUAUCCGGAUUUAUUGGGUUUAAAGGGUGCGCAGGCGGCCAUUUAAGUCAGCGGUUAAAUCGUGGGGCUCAACCCCAUUCUGCCGUUGAUACUGGGUGGCUUGAUUGCGGUCGAGGUUGGCGAAAUUCGUUGUGUAGCGGUGAAAUGCAUAGAUAUGACGAAGAACACCGAUUGUGUAGGCAGCUGACCAGACCGCAAAUGACGCUCAUGCACGAAAGUGCGGGGAUCGAACAGGAUUAGAUACCCUGGUAGUCCGCACAGUAAACGAUGAAUACUUGUUUUCGGCGAUAUAAUGUCGGAGGCAAAGCGAAAGCGAUAAGUAUUCCACCUGGGGAGUACGCCGGCAACGGUGAAACUCAAAGGAAUUGACGGGG
rnacentral:rRNA from 1 species